ACAAUCGAUGCCGAUGUGGGCUCGCUAGAUCACUGUGUGUUGGAAGGCCGUGUAUUAUUGUGAGCAUUUUGUUUUCAGCGCCAGUUGCAUUUAGCUAGUAGUUUAAUUGUUUUGCUGAGCAUUCUCCUUCAAUUUGUUCUUAACCGUAUUGUGUCUGUUUUAAGUGGGUUAGAUUCACAAUUUCUGCAUGCUAUAGUGGUAUAGUAAUAUUUUAUAGUUUAUAUUUUUGUCCCUUUUUUUUUUUCAAGGAUUUUUCGCCCCAUACAGAGGACCGUCUUCAAAAAGACGAACGUUCCCACUCCAGCGCCGUGUUGGUGUUAUUACACUCACAACUUCUGCUGUCUAAAACGGAAAACCAUUUCCACGGUGCCGACUAGACAGCAGAAAAAGACGAAUUGAAUGUAGCAGGACUGGGGGAGAAAAGAAUCUCCUUUCAAGGUUGUGACAGCAGCUGUGAAGGAUUCAGAAGCCAGUUAUUCAAAUCUUAUCCCAAACUGAGUGAAGGUGGUGGAUUUGAACAAAUGAAGAUUUCAGGAUCUACGAGAAGCCGGAUCUAGGCUGUUAUUCCUUGCCCUAAUGAGGGGCACUCAGCAAAAUAUUUAAGGGACCCAGAAACCCAAAUUGUCUGCUGCAAUUCAUUUUGUAGGUUCCUGGACUGUCCUUAUCCACUGGGCCCCUGAUGAAGUGCCUCUUUUGUGAGAGACUUUUCUUUCUCAGAAAUAGUCACAGUGACAGCUGUAGCAGCAGUGAAGAAGACAAAAGCAUUAUACUGCAAUUGGCAUUAAGCUGGGAUCUUCCAGGGGUGACAGAAGAAAAUCGGCAUUGGCUAAUGGACAAACUCCUCCUUCACGCUAUGAUCCUUGAAAGAAUCACCUGGCCCACACUGAAUGUGGAGGAAGAUGAUGAUGAGGAUGACUGUUCUCUUGAGACUAAAUGCCGUAUCACAGGUGUAAGAAAGAGCGGUGUCGCCUUUAAGAAAUGGCGACGCCAUUUGAAAGACUACGCAACCCAGGAACCUUAGCACUAAUGGGCAAGGCGGGGUUUCUGGGUAUAAAGGGAAGUGGAGCAGGACAGCAGGGGGUGAUUUGGGGAGCACCGCCGGUUUGUCCUGCUGAAUAGUUCCCAGAAGGUUGAGAGUGCAUUACGUAGUAUUGUAAGGUAAAGUGAACGUUUGGUUUCUUUUUUGAACAAGAGUUGUGUUUUGUUUAUACCGUGAGCGUUUUCCUCUUGGUGAGGUAGUCUUUUGUUUUGACAAAGUUUGAUUUAUUUUAUGAAACGUUGGUAGAUAAACGCUGCCUCUCGGUAGUUAAUUUAAAACAGUUCCGCAGUUUUCGUGACGAUUGGGAACCGUCACAACUGCCGUCUAUUUGUGUAUGUGUGUUUGACUCGGGACUCGGAGGGAAAGCGCGCAUUCAUGCGCUGCAGGAACAGCGGGCUGUAACAGAGAGAACUGAGGCAGCAGUCUGGUUUUCUGGACGUGCUUUAUUGUGACACACAUGAACAACAGUACCCACAGGUGGUGUGGACAGUAUGGAUAUUGUGCUUGAACUCGGAGACACUCCCGUGUUUCCGUGAACGACUGGGACGUCAGCUGCAGGGGUCCUUCCCCACAGCCUGGAUACAAUUCUUUAUCAACAGAGCCCUUCUUCUGGGAGGGCCCAUUCCAUACUUGCUUACGCUUACCUGUGUUACAGCAAGACUCCAGCAGAGGGAGUCUGCGCUAUCCUUGCCUGUGUUGCAGAGAUACUCCAGCAGAGGGUAUCUUCUUUGUUCUUACCUGUGUUGCAGAGAUACUCCAGCAGAGGGUGUCUUCUUUGUCCUUACCUGUGUUGCAGAGAUACUCCAGCAGAGGGUGUCUUCUUUGUUCUUACCUGUGUUGCAGCAAGACUCCAGCAGAGGGAGUCUGCGCUAUCCUUACCUGUGUUGCAGAGACACUCCAGCAGAGGGUGUCUU